rnacentral:sRNA from 1 species
GCUGGGUGUGGUGGUGCAUGCCUGUGAUCCCAGUGGCUCGGGAGGCUGAGACAGGAGGAUCCCAGGUUCAAAGCCAGCCUCAGCAAAGGUAAGGCACUAAGCAACUCAGUGAGACCCUGUCUUUA